UACAAUCAAGUGAUAUAACCAUUUUGCCGAUCAGAUAGGGCCUAAUAUUAGAUGUUUUGUUUUGCUUGAGCUUUUACUUUUAUAUAAUUAUUUGGUACAUUUAUAGGUGCCCUGUUGUCCUUGUGACAGAAGAGGGAAAGCGGAAGCCAUGUCGUACAGACUGCAAAAAUGUUACUUGUAAAAACAAAUCUACACCAAAGAAGACCAGUAAAUCAUCAAACACCAAACGAUUUCAGCCAUAUGCAGCUAAUAGCUCCAGAAAUGCUACUUUUACGGAGGUACCACCCAGGAAUGGCCUGCUACAGAUCAGCUGUGGGGAGCUAAAAAAGAAAAAUGAAGAAUUAUGUGCUAAGCUAAGUGAAAGGGUGGACAAUUUACCAGAUAAAAACCUCAAAGAUAUUAUGAAGGAAAUGAUUCAAGACAAUCCCCAGUUUGUAAAAGAUUUCAUAAUGCCAGGACCAUCAUCCUCGUCUAAUAUCAGUGAAAAACCAGUUUUGUAUUUGCGGCAACUGUAAACAGUUUGAAAAUGAAAGAAUGAACAUUUGUUGCAAUGACGUCAACUGUGUGACAUCAAGCCCAAACAUUUGUGAAUGUGUGUUUGAGAAGAGAUGUUCUUGAUGUUGCUAAUAUUCUCAACUGGUCAUUCCAGACUAAUUUAGAACCUGACUUUAGAAACAAUAUUUUCCGAAACCAAGCUUACAGAAAUUUUAUUU